CCUACGGGUGGCUGCAGUGGGGAAUAUUGGACAAUGGGCGAAAGCCUGAUCCAGCCAUGCCGCGUGUGUGAAGAAGGCCUUCGGGUUGUAAAGCACUUUCAGUGGGGAAGAAAGCCUUGGGGCUAAUACCCUCGAGGAAGGACAUCACCCACAGAAGAAGCACCGGCUAACUCCGUGCCAGCAGCCGCGGUAAUACGGAGGGUGCGAGCGUUAAUCGGAAUUACUGGGCGUAAAGCGCGCGUAGGCGGUCUGAUAAGCCGGUUGUGAAAGCCCCGGGUUCAACCUGGGAACGGCAUCCGGAACUGUCAGGCUAGAGUGCAGGAGAGGAAGGUAGAAUUCCCGGUGUAGCGGUGAAAUGCGUAGAGAUCGGGAGGAAUACCAGUGGCGAAGGCGGCCUUCUGGACUGACACUGACGCUGAGGUGCGAAAGCGUGGGUAGCAAACAGGAUUAGAUACCCGUGUAGUC
rnacentral:rRNA from 1 species